CAAUAGCGUAUAUUUAAGUUGUUGCAGUUAAAAAGCUCGUAGUUGGAUUUCGGGUGUGAACGACCGGUCCGUCUUUGAUGUGUACUGGUUGGUUGCGCCUUAUUGUCGAGGACGUGGUUCUAGCUUUCAUUAGCCGGGACACGGAGUCGGCAGCGUUACCUUGAGAAAAUUAGAGUGUUCAAAGCAGGCUAUCGCUCUGAAUACUACAGCAUGGAAUAACACGAUAGGACUCCGAGCCUAUUCUGUUGGUCUUCGGGACCGGAGUAAUGAUUAAGAGGGACAGUUGGGGGCAUUCGUAUUCCGAUGUCAGAGGUGAAAUUCUUGGAUUAUCGGAAGACGAACAUCUGCGAAAGCAUUUGCCAAGGAUGUUUUCAUUAA
rnacentral:rRNA from 1 species